rnacentral:SRP_RNA from 1 species
GCUGGGCGUGGUGGUGCACGCCUGUAGUCCCAGCUACUUGGGAGGCUGAGGCAGGAGACUCGCUUGAACCCGGGAGGCGGAGGUUGCAGUGAGCUGAGAUCACGCCACUGCACUCCAGCCUGAGUGACAGAGAGAGACUCUGUCUCAA